rnacentral:misc_RNA from 1 species
GAUGAAGAACGUAGCGAAAUGCGAUAAGUAAUGUGAAUUGCAGAAUUCAGUGAAUCAUCGAAUCUUUGAACGCACAUUGCGCCCGCUAGUAUUCUGGCGGGCAUGCCUGUCCGAGCGUCAUUUCAACCCUCAAGCCCCCGGGCUUGGUGUUGGGGAUCGGCGAGCCUCCGCGCCCGCCGUCCCCUAAAUCUAGUGGCGGUCUCGCCGUAGCUUCCUCUGCGUAGUAGCACACCUCGCACUGGGAAACAGCGCGGCCACGCCGUUAAACCCCCAACUUCUGAACGUUUGACCUCGGAUCAGGUAGGAAUACCCGCUGAACUUAAGCAUAUCAAUAAGCGGAGGA